GCCAGUAGCCAUAUCACUCUGCAACUCGCACCUGGCAUUGAAGCCCAGCAGUUGUGAGCCUGGUCAGUACCUGGAUGGGAGACCUCCUGGGAAAAGCUAAGGUUGCUGCUGGAA
rnacentral:rRNA from 1 species